GAGGAUGGAAGUUUAAUAAAACAAAAAUUCCACCCCCUAUUUUCUUUUCAUCCACCAUUCGAUCCUCCUCUCCUCCAAUGGAGACUUCUAGGGUUUAUUGCUCGAUCAAAAUUACAGCCAAUUCUCGGCUGUUUUUUUUCAUCGGAUUUUAUAGUGGUUUUGCUCCCCAUCGCGAGUUAUUAUGGUUUCCAGGUUCAAUUUCAUCCGAUUAUUCUUAUUUUAUACCUGAUUGAACUCCUAGGGUGUUAUCCGAGGUCGUUUUGGGUUUGCAGGCGCCAUGGGCAGGGCCUCGAGCCCUUUGUCAUCUUGUGCACUUCCCAAUGAAACAAACCUUUGGAGGAAUUUCCUAGGAAGGUUCUCGGGUUGGUACGGUUUCAAGGGAUUCUAUCCUACUUUGUACCGUUGAAAUGUAUUGAUUUUUGUCUUAUUAGUGGCUAAUCGUACUAUCCUAGUAUUUCCGAUUUUUUGCUGAAUUUUAUUUGGAUUUUUAGGGUACAAUCCGUCAGAUUUUUUGUUAUGUUGUGUGAUUUGUACAAAUUAUGAUAGGUUAUAGUACUAUUAGUACCAAUUUGUUGAGAAAUUGGUUUGCCUUUUAUUGAAUUUGAAUUUGUUUGAUUUAGGGUUUAAGAGUUAGAGGGAAAUUCUGUUGGAUUUUGGUUUUUACCUCUUUUGUCCCUAAGCCCUAUUACUAAUACUAUACAUAGAAGGUCUUAUGACCAUUGAAAGGACCCCGACUUUUUUCUGGAAAAAAAAAAACCUAGAGCAUUAGAAAUCCUACAAUGUCUUUAAACUUUCCUAUCAAUAUGCUACACUAAUAUACCUAAAAUACUACUAUACUAUAUAAGAAUACUACAAAACGACUUACACAACUCUUGGAAUAUCAAAAUUACACAAAAAUUACAAAAACAAGGUUGCUUUAAGGUUUCUUUGGUUGUUGGCAUGAAAUGUUGAUCCAAUCCCUACCUUUGAUCCUUAGGUUGCCCCAACAAAAGAUCCAGUCCCCAGUACCAGCAAAGCUCGUGACUAACCGACUGCUCGCUAGAGCCUUUGCUGAAAGAUCGGGGUGACCACCAUGGUUUUGGGCAGCUCCAGACUCUCCUCUAUUAUUUACCUUCUGUCUUUCUUUAUUCCAAACAGUUCUAUUUAUGUUUUUUCAGACUAUUGUACUCCUUAGUAGUCCUUAUGUUUGGUGACAUCAGAUUUUGGGAAGAUUUAUAAUAACUUCUAAGUAUUUCUAUUUAAGAUUGUUUAUGACUUGAAA